UACAGAGGUCUCAAGCGUUGUUCGGAUUCAUUGGGCGUAAAGGGUGCGUAGGCGGCGCGGUAAGUCGGGUGUGAAAUCUCGGAGCUUAACUCCGAAACUGCACUUGAUACUGCCUUGCUUGAGUACUGGAGAGGAGAUUGGAAUUUACGGUGUAGCAGUGAAAUGCGUAGAUAUCGUAAGGAAGACCAGUGGCGAAGGCGAAUCUCUGGACAGUUACUGACACUGAGGCAGCGAAAGGC
rnacentral:rRNA from 1 species